rnacentral:misc_RNA from 1 species
GUCUAAAUCAGAUUCUAACUGAAAAACCGGUAAUGAGAUCUUCCUUGAAUGGUGGUCAAACUAACUUUGCUUGCAUUUUGCAACUCGGUAGAACCUUCACAAUCAAAUGUUGCUGUAGGAAUAAAACUCUUUGUUUCUAUUACUUUUGUAUCACAAAAGGAUUUGGAAAGUAACUUCAACCUGUUUUUACAGAUUUAAGCCAUAAUUAUGAUGCAAAAAAUAAGAGGUACCUGAUUGGUGCCUUAAUCUAGUACCGG